rnacentral:lncRNA from 1 species
AUCGGUCACAAAAUCGUCAAUUUUAUAAGUAACAACUUAUUUAACGUUCACAAAUUUUCAAAUUAAUUGAUCAAAGGAAAUUUCUUGAUCACAACUUUAUGAAUAGUGAGUCACAAUCACUUUUUUAGAUCACGAAUUAACUAAUAUUGGUCAUAAUUAAUCAAAUAAUUGAUCACAAACACUCAUCCCCUCCCACGCCACCCCACCCCACCUCACUACACUUUGCAAGACCACCACCACACACCACACAAUAGCAACGAGAAACCACCACCACUCACCAAAUUUUGGCACCAUCACUGCUGCUAGAUCAUGGCAUCACAAAACGUCUGACACCAGAUUGUGAGUGUCGUGCACAAUACAUGUUCCACCACCACAAAGUUGCUCAGCAACGAACCCAUUGUUGUUGUACGAGGCUUUCUGAGCUCGUCGCACAUAAUCAUCCAAAGCCUCAUCUUCUUCUUCGUCCACAGUAACAUCAGCUUUAUCGGUAGCAAUUCAAUUUUACAAUACUCAAAUCAAUGUAAUUCCAGAACAGUGAAAACACCUCCAACAAUAUCACAUACAUUGGCCAAGAAGUGAAAGUCGCCUUUAUUUGUGAAAACUGAAAAAGUCAUAAAAGAAGAUACGAAAUGAGGAAAUCUGGUCAACAUUCCACUCGUUGCCAUAAUCCCGAGAGACAAACACGGUCAAAUAAAAUGAUUGCACGAGUAGCUAACUUUUGCGGAAAAGAAAUUGCAGCUGUCUGAUAUAUGAGCAAUGGAGACAAAAACUUCAAUUUGAGAAGCAAAAGGCUCUGACCAUCCAUAAAGAUCUUUGAAUUUUCAGAGAAUCAAAAUCUGAAAGAGGAGAGGGAAUUUUCACGUCCAACAUUACGAACAUGAAUGAACUUUGAACUUGGAAGGUUCUUCCAUUAUCAGCAACCAUUAGAAAACCAAGAAUAAUUCCAGCCAAAUUCUGGAAAAGAAAAGCAGCAACAGGAAGCUUUGAUUUGCUCUGAUACCAUAUUAGAAUUUAUUGAAUGAAGUAAACUUGAAUUAAGCUCCAUAAAAGGAGAACAAAAGUGGAAUAGAAUUCCUUGAUACAAACACUCCAUUAAAGGAGGAAGAAACACUCCAUAAAAGGAGGAAAAAACCUCCAUGGAAGGAGGCGAAGAAACCUCCAUGAAAGGAGGGACUGGAGAAUGUUACAAUCUAAUGAUUUACAAUGUAUACCGAGUGCUGUAUUUAUAGAAAAAAGACUCACCAACUAACUAACUAAUCAACUAACUAAACCAACUACCAACUAAUUAACUAUAACAGUUGGAAGAAUCUAGACAGCUGUAUACAACUGGCUGAAUAUGUGUGGAAGAAGCUGGAAUAAAUCUGGAUCAUUGCGAAUAAAAUCUCUGGAAUCUAGUGUAGUUCUGAUGAUGGCUG